rnacentral:rRNA from 1 species
AGCGAACGCUGGCGGCAGGCCUAACACAUGCAAGUCGAGCGGCCGUAGCAAUACGGCAGCGGCAGACGGGAGAGUAACACGUGGGAACGUGCCCUUUGGUUCGGAAUAACGCAGGGAAACUUGCGCUAAUACCGGAUAAGCCCUUAGGGGAAAGAUUUAUCGCCAAAUGGAGCGGCCCGCGUCUGAUUAGCUAGUUGGUGAGGUAACGGCUCACCAAGGCGACGAUCAGAGCUGGUCUGAGAGGAUGAUCAGCCUCACUGGGACUGAGACACGGCCCAGACUCCUACGGGAGGCAGCAGUGGGGAAUAUUGGACAAUGGGCGCAAGCCUGAUCCAGCCAUG